rnacentral:rRNA from 1 species
AGAAUCAACGCUGGCGGCGUGCCUAACACAUGCAAGUCGCACGAGAAAGGGUAGCAAUACCUGAGUAAAGUGGCGCACGGGUGAGUAACACGUGAAUGAUCUACCUCCGAGUGGGAAUAACUGAGAGAAAUCUUAGCUAAUACCGCAUAACACUUACGAGUCAAAGCAGCAAUGCGCUUGGAGAGGAGUUCGCGGCCGAUUAGUUAGUUGGCGGGGUAAUGGCCCACCAAGACGAUGAUCGGUA